AGUUUGUAAAAAUUAUUUUCCUUUUUUUUUUUCAGGAGCUGCAAUCUGGGCCUGGAACGGAGACAUUCAGAUAUUAAAUACCAAUUCUGGCCAGUUUCUGAUGGGACAAGAAAUACUAUAUUCCACCAAGAAGGCAAUGAGGGAAUGUUGCUUGUCCAAAGAGACCCAAAAAGGUUCUGAGAGAUAAAGACCCCUCUGAUGUGGAACAGGUGGCUCGUCCAGGUCACUGAGCACGGGCGUGGCUGUGACAGAGAAGCGUGUGGCGGUCCCACCUCGGCGAGGGCGCGGCGGGGACGCGCUUGGCAUUUAAAGGCUCCACAACUCCAAGAAAUACUUAGAGGGAGAGACUGCCUGCGG
rnacentral:lncRNA from 12 species